UGCAAGAAAUCGGUUACAGGAAACACUUUCAGCAGAAGAUUUGUCUCUCUUCUAUAGCAAAUCUCCUAUCUCGCAUGUUUCAAAGGUCUUGCCUUUGAACCAAACAUUUUUUAGAUUGAAUUGCCAUGUUAUUACAAGCUCUCUUAAUGAUUGAAUUACCCUGAUUGGUGCUAAUGAUUAUGAUUACGAUGUAUCUUAUUUCAUGGAGUUGAUUUCUGGCAUUAUGUCUUUUCAUGAAUUCUGCAGGUAAAGGCACCAACACUGUUCCUUUUAGGUGCACAAGAUCGUCGCGUUCCAAUCUUUGAUGGACUGCAAUACGCUCGAGCUUUAAAAGAGAAAGGAGCAGAGGUCAAAAUCAUCAUGUUUCAAAAUGAUGUUCAUGCACUCAAAAGGCCACAAUCUGAAUGGGAAAGCAUCCUUAACAUUGGGACAUGGUUCAACAAAUGCUGCAAAUAAGUGUGUCGAAAACUUACGACACUAGUUAAUUAGUCAAGUAAAUUGAAAUUUGAUUGAUGGCACUGUACAACCAGUUAUAUCCUCCAUGGUCAAAAUUGGGACUAUAGUUUGAUACAUUUUAUAGUAAUAUAUGAAAUACACACAAACAAAUGAUAGUGUGCUUAUUUUGUAGCUAAGUGGAUA